rnacentral:tRNA from 2 species
AUGAGAUUAAGUUAUAUGUAGACUAUGUGUUUUCAAAACACAAAGAAGCUUUCAGGGCUAUUUCAUG